rnacentral:tRNA from 4 species
GUCUCUGUAGCUCAGAUGGAUAGAGCGUUCGCCUCCUAAGCGAAAGGCCGUGGGUUCGAAUCCCGCCAGGGACGCCA